AUGGGGAAUCUGGAAAGAAACCGGCUGUGGGAGCGAGGGGAAGGGUUGGGGAAAGAAGGAGGGGUGCAGCCUGAGGAAAGGCGAGUAAAGCAGCUGGCAAGGGCGGGAGGAAGAGGCUGCGCUCAGACCGAGUGGGGGAGAGGCUGGCAGGAGCGAGGAGAGCUGCAGGCGAGAGGGGGAGGCUGCUGGAAGGAAGCACCGGCGAACGCGGGCAGGGGAACUUCAGAGGAGGCUGCCAAAAAGGACUGGAGCUGCAGCAGUGCGAGGCAGUGGACAAGGGGGGCAGCAACCACCAGCCCUUGGCAGCCAGCAGAGGGGAAGAGGAGCCCACGGGAAAGAAAAGCAGGCGAGGUUAAGAAUAAAGAGUGUUCCAGGUAUGACAGCUACCUCGGUGAGGUGGAAGAGAGAAUUGACAAGGCAGAUUUCAUGGGUGAGUUGGAAAAGCAAGAAGCAGGACUACAAGAGGUCAUAUGUGGUCUCACUCUGUUACCUAGGCUGAAGUAUAGUGGCACAAUCCUGGCUCACUGCAACCUCCACCUCCUGGGUUCAAAUGCUUCUUCUGCCUCAGCAUCCUGA
rnacentral:lncRNA from 1 species